UACGGAGGGUGCAAGCGUUAUCCGGAUUCACUGGGUUUAAAGGGUGCGUAGGAGGGUAGGUAAGUCAGUGGUGAAAUCUUCGAGCUUAACUCGGAACUGCCGUUGAUACUAUCUAUCUUGAAUACCGUGGAGGUGAGCGGAAUAUGUCAUGUAGCGGUGAAAUGCUUAGAUAUGACAUAGAACACCAAUUGCGAAGGCAGCUCACUACACGAAUAUUGACACUGAGGCACGAAAGCGUGGGGAUCAAACA
rnacentral:rRNA from 1 species